GACGAACCGUGCGAACGUUGUUCGGAAUCACUGGGCUUAAAGGGCGCGUAGGCGGCCCGCCGCGUCCGGGGUGAAAUCCUCCCGCUCAACGGGAGAACGGCCUCGGAUACGGGCGGGCUGGAGGGGGGUAGGGGCAGGCGGAACUGUGGGUGGAGCGGUGAAAUGCGUUGAGAUCCACAGGAACUCCGGUGGCGAAGGCGGCCUGCUGGACCCCAUCUGACGCUGAGGCGCGAAAGCGUGGGGAGCAAACAGG
rnacentral:rRNA from 1 species